rnacentral:rRNA from 1 species
UGGGGAAUAUUGCACAAUGGGCGAAAGCCUGAUGCAGCAACGCCGCGUGAGUGAUGAAGGUCUUCGGAUUGUAAAGCUCUGUCUUUUGGGACGAUAAUGACGGUACCAAAGGAGGAAGCCACGGCUAACUACGUGCCAGCAGCCGCGGUAAUACGUAGGUGGCGAGCGUUGUCCGGAUUUACUGGGCGUAAAGGGUGCGUAGGCGGAUGUUUAAGUGAGAUGUGAAAUACCCGGGCUUAACUUGGGUGCUGCAUUUCAAACUGGAUAUCUAGAGUGCAGGAGAGGAGAAUGGAAUUCCUAGUGUAGCGGUGAAAUGCGUAGAGAUUAGGAAGAACACCAGUGGCGAAGGCGAUUCUCUGGACUGUAACUGACGCUGAGGCACGAGAGCGUGGGUAGCAAACAGGAUUAGAUACCCUGGUAGUCCACGCCG